GGUGGACAUUAUCGGCGCAUGGGUUGUCGCCGCCAGUAGCGUCGCCAUACCCGCCAGCCCCAAUAAAAUUGCUAUUUCUCCUGACUGACCGAUAGUGAACCAGUACCGUGAGGGAAAGGCGAAAAGAACCCCGGCGAGGGGAGUGAAAAAGAACCUGAAACCGUGUACGUACAAGCAGUGGGAGCACCCUUUGGGGUGUGACUG
rnacentral:rRNA from 1 species